UAAAGUUAAACCUCUCGAGGUUUUUAAAAUAAUGUUAUUUAAACUUGAUUGUUACACUUGUCCGCACCAAGUCACGGUAAUAAAACUUCAAAAACAAGUGAUAUAUGAAAACAUAUUACUAGCUUCACAAUAAUUAUACUCUGGUUUGAUAUUAUUUUUUUCUAUAUGAUAGUAUGUAGGGGUGUUCAAAUCCCAGUUCAGUUUGGUUUGGGCCAAAAGAUCCAACCGAAUAAGGUUUUUUAAUUUCUAAAAGAUUUGUCUCGGACCGGACCGGACCGAUUCGGUUCCGUUCAGGCCGGUUUUUUUACUUUGAAAUCCGAAAAACCCAAAACCAUCUUCAUUGUCGACAUCAACAACCAUCCUUCACUUUCACUCCUUUCGCAACAGCCAAACCAGAAUCAACCACCCGCUAGACCAGGCUGUGACAACCUCUAUUCUCCUCCAAAUACUACAAACACAAACCACUUCACCAUCUCCCACCACUACAACCUUCAUCACCGUUGAUCGCUAUCAUAACCAUUACCUCCCUCAUCCUCUCUCCUCCAUACCCGAACCAGUCACUCUCACCCACAGCUCCAUCUACCACCGAAACAAGCUCCAGUAGCACCUACAAGAGGCGAUAACAUAAAAGCUGGCCAGCAGCCCCUCUACAACAGAUGCUAUCAGAACACCCUCACCAUGGUCAGCCUUUAGAUUCUCUCAACCAAAAAGCUCGUACCAGCCCCCCCAAUCACACCAAAAGCUAACCUAAAAAUAUAUAUAUAAAAAACUAGAUCUAGAUUCGAAAAAGGAGGAAAAAGAGAAGAAGAAACAAUAGGAAAAAAGGAAAAAACAAGUUAAGAUAUUAUGGGUUUCCUGCCGGCCAUAUUUGACUGAUGGCACACAGUGGGGAGAAAAAUGUGUUCUUUUGUUUUGUUUUCUUGCUUUCUAUAGAGAAGCCAGAGCUUCUCUCUCUAAAAAACCAGAUUUUUAAGCUUUUAUUUAUCAAGCUUUCUCUUCAAAUUUCUCAGUUCGGGUUUUUUUUAUAUAGAUGGUUUAAUUUCAGUUGAACUGGUUCACUUGGUUUCAACUUUCUGAAACUAGAACUGAAUCGAAAUGGCUUGUCUUCUUUUUAAUUCGGUUUUUUUAACACCCCUAAUAAUAUGCGUGUUAGGAUUCAAGCAUGC
rnacentral:lncRNA from 1 species